rnacentral:rRNA from 1 species
ACGAACGCUGGCGGCGUGCCUAAUACAUGCAAGUCGAACGGUCUUUCUAUGGAAGCUUGCUUCCACUGAGAAGAUAGUGGCGAACGGGUGAGUAACACGUGGGUAACCUGCCCAUAAGGAGGGGGAUAACAUCCGGAAACGGGUGCUAAUACCGCAUAGUUUUCUUGAUCGCAUGAUCGGGAAAGGAAAGACGGCCUUUGUGCUGUCGCUUAUGGAUGGACCCGCGGCGUAUUAGUUAGUUGGUGAGGUAACGGCUCACCAAGACGAUGAUACGUAGCCGACCUGAGAGGGUGAUCGGCCACAUUGGGACUGAGACACGGCCCAAACUCCUACGGGAGGCAGCAGUAGGGAAUCUUCCGCAAUGGACGAAAGUCUGACGGAGCAACGCCGCGUGAGUGAAGAAGGUUUUCGGGAAUCGUAAAACUCUGUUGUCAGAGAAGAACAAGUUGGAGAGUAACUGCUCCAGCCUUGACGGUAUCUGACCAGAAAGCCACGGCUAACUACGUGCCAGCAGCAGC